GUGAGUCAUCGAAUCUUUGAACGCACAUUGCGCCCCUUGGUAUUCCGAGGGGCAUGCCUGUUCGAGCGUCAUUACAACCCUCAAGCAAUGCUUGGUCUUGGGCUCCGCUGCUCACCUAGCGGGCCUUAAAAUCAGUGGCGGUGCCAUCCGGCCCUGAGCGUAGUAAAUCUCCUCGCUACAGGGACGCGGUGGACGCUGGCCAUCAACCCUAGACUCUCUAAGUUUGACCUCGGAUCAGGUAGGGAUACCCGCUGAACUUAAGCAUAUCAAUAAGCGGAGGA
rnacentral:misc_RNA from 1 species